rnacentral:rRNA from 1 species
CCCUUAGAUGUUCUGGGCCGCACACGCGCUACACUGAAGGAGGCAGCGUGGACUCCUGGAUCGAAAGAUUUGGGUAACCCGCGAAUCUCCUUCGUGCUAGGGAUUGAGGUUUGCAAUUAUCCUUCAUGAACGAGGAAUUCCCAGUAAGUGCAAGUCAUAAGCUUGCGCUGACUACGUCCCUGCCCUUUGUACACACCGCCCGUCGCUACUACCGAUUGAAUGAUUUAGUGAGGACUUCGGACUGGGACCGAUGCGGCUUUCGGGCUGCGUCGGUAUUCUGGAAAGAUGUCCAAACUGUAUCAUUUAGAGGAAGUAAAAGUCGUAACA